rnacentral:rRNA from 1 species
GAUGAACGCUGGCGGCGUGCCUAAUACAUGUAAGUCGAGCGAACAGACGAUUAGCUUGCUCCUCUUACCUUAGCGGCGGACAAGUGAGUAACACGUUGAUAACCUACCUAUAAGACUGGGAUAACUUCGGGAAACCUGAGCUAAGACCAGAGAUUAUAUCGAACCGCAUGGUGCAAUGGUUAUACACGGUUUUGCUGGCACUUGUAGAUUCAGCCGCGCCGCAUUAGCUUGUUGGUAAGGUAACGCGUUACGAAGCCGACCAUGCGUAGCCGACGUGAGAGGGUGAUCGGCCACACUGGAACUGAGACGCGGUCAAGACUCCUACGGGAGGCAGCAGUAGGGAAUCUUCCGCAGUGGGCGAGAGCCUGACGGAGCAACGCCGCGUGAGUGAUGAAGGUCUUCGGAUCGUAAAACUGUGUUAUUAGGGAAGAACAAAUGUGUACGUAACUAUGCACGUCUUGACGGUACCUGAUCAGAAAGCCACGGCUAACUACGUG